rnacentral:rRNA from 1 species
AGAACGCUGGCGGCGUGCCUAACACAUGCAAGUCGAGCGAGGUAUUUAUACCUAGCGGCGGACGGGUGAGUAACACGUGGGUAACCUGCCUCAGAGAGGGGAAUAGCCUUCCGAAAGGAAGAUUAAUACCGCAUAAUAUAUACUUUUAGCAUUAUGAGUAUAUCAAAGGAGCAAUCCGCUUUGAGAUGGGCCCGCGGCGCAUUAGCUAGUUGGAGAGGUAACGGCUCACCAAGGCGACGAUGCGUAGCCGACCUGAGAGGGUGAUCGGCCACAUUGGAACUGAGACACGGUCCAGACUCCUACGGGAGGCAGCAGUGGGGAAUAUUGCACAAUGGGGGAAACCCUGAUGCAGCAACGCCGCGUGAAUGAUGAAGGCCUUCGGGUCGUAAAGUUCUUUGAUUGGGGACGAUAAUGACGGUACCCAAAAAACAAGCCACGGCUAACUACGUG